AUCUUAGUAGCUGCAGGAAGAGAAAUCAAACAGAGAUUCCCAAAGUAGUGGUGAGCGAAAUGGGAAAAGCCUAAACCAAGGUACAUGUACCUUGGGGUCGUGGGACUACAAUAUCAAAUCCGUAGAUUAGACGAAGCAGCUAAAUACUGCACCAGAGAAAGUGAAAGUCUUGUAGUCGAAAAUUGUGCGGAUAGUAGUAGCAUCCCGAGUAGCAUGGAGCACGUGAAAUUCCAUGUGAAUCAGCGAGGACCACCUCGUAAGGCUA
rnacentral:rRNA from 1 species